UACGUAGGGGGCGAGCGUUGUCCGGAUUUACUGGGCGUAAAGAGCGCGUAGGUCGGAAGCUUAAGUGUGGCCUGAAAGCCCCCCGGCCCAACCGGGGAGGGUGGCUGCAAACUGGGCUUCUAGAGGGGGAUAGAGGAAAGUGGAAUUCCGGGGUGUAGCGGUGAAAUGCGUAGAGAUCCGGAGGAACACCAGUGGCGAAGGCGGCUUUCUGGGUCCGCCCCUGACGCUGAGGCGCGAAAGCGU
rnacentral:rRNA from 1 species